rnacentral:rRNA from 1 species
GUAGGUGGCAAGCGUUGUCCGGAAUUAUUGGGCGUAAAGCGCGCGCAGGGCGGUCCUUUAAGUCUGAUGUGAAAGCCCACGGCUCAACCGUGGAGGGUAAUUGGAAACUGGGGGACUUGAGUACAGAAGAGGAAAGCGGAAUUCCAAGUGUAGCGGUGAAAUGCGUAGAGAUUUGGAGGAACACCAGUGGCGAAGGCGGCUUUCUGGUCUGUAACUGACGCUGAGGCGCGAAAGCGUGGGGAGCAAACAGGAUUAGAUACCCUGGUAGUCCACGCCGUAAACGACGAGUGCUAAGUGUUAGGGGGUUUCCGCCCCUUAGUGCUGCAGCUAACGCAUUAAGCACUCCGCCUGGGGAGUACGGCCGCAAAGGCUGA